AGUGAACGCUGGCGGUAGGCCUAACACAUGCAAGUCGAACGGCAGCACAGUAAGAGCUUGCUCUUACGGGUGGCGAGUGGCGGACGGGUGAGGAAUACAUCGGAAUCUACUUUUUCGUGGGGGAUAACGUAGGGAAACUUACGCUAAUACCGCAUACGACCUACGGGUGAAAGCAGGGGAUCUUCGGACCUUGCGCGAUUGAAUGAGCCGAUGUCGGAUUAGCUAGUUGGCGGGGUAAAGGCCCACCAAGGCGACGAUCCGUAGCUGGUCUGAGAGGAUGAUCAGCCACACUGGAACUGAGACACGGUCCAGACUCCUAAGGGAGGCAGCAGUGGGGAAUAUUGGAUAAUGGGCGCAAGCCUGAUCCAGCCAUACCGCGUGGGUGAAGAAGGCCUUCGGGUUUUAAAGCCCUUUUGUUGGGAAAGAAAAGCAGCAGGUUAAUACCCCGCUGUUCUGACGGUACCCAAAGAAUAAGCACCGGCUAACUUCGUG
rnacentral:rRNA from 1 species